GUUGGCUGUAUUAGUCAGUCUGCUAAGAAACAUAGUGCCAACAAGCCCAUGGCCCCUUUUCAUGUAAAACUUCGUACAGGAGGCUGUUUGUGCAGUUUAGUGCCUUUGUUAGCCUCGGCUCCUGUAAAUCAUAUAAGCACACCCACCACACCCCUAGGAGCAUUCAGUGCGCCCCCACCUGCCAACCUGCCUGUCCCCCCAACCCACAGACCGUCUGUAGUUCUGAAAUUUAUCCACAUGGCUGUUGACCAAGUCUAAGCAGGCACCUAGGACUCGUAUCUCCCUCUGAGAAUCUCUUCUAAGGCGCUCAGCAGCAGAAAUUCUCCAUCCUAGAUGAGCCUGCAAAGUUCUGUAGAAGUUAAAUAUACUUUAGUCAAAUGAGAGACUAACCUGCUGUCAGGCUGGGGAAGCUUGAACAAGGCCUUCAUUCAUGACAGCUCCACUUGGCUUUUUGACGAGUCCCCAUUUAGAUGCAGCACGUCAGAGACUGAAGAGCAGGAUGAAGGCUAAAUUCUCUCAAGAAAGAAGUUGCCUCUUACCAUGUCACAAGCAAUUAGUUUCACCCAAAAAGGAGGAGGACCCCUCUCUGCUCCCCGUGUUAAAAAACAAUACACCGCCUCACAGGCCAGAGCCACAGCCUUCUCCUCUCUGCUGGGUGGAAGAACAACUCUCACACAGUGGAAGUCCUCCAGACCCCCUGCCUUCAGACAAUAGGUUCCCUGGUUUUGGUCUACAUUCCUCGGUCCUCUGCUGUGGAGUCUACCUUCUGCUUCACCUCAUUCUGGAGUCGCCCAUCCAGUCAGCGGCCCAUGUCCCCCUGGUUCCCUGUUUCCUGAGUCUUCUGGCAAUAUAAUCUGGUGAAUGGGGAAAGACUUCCAGCAGGGGCUCCGGUUUCCUCCCACAG